ensembl:miRNA tgu-mir-34c-2 tgu-mir-34c-2
CUUGGUUUGCAGGCAGUGUAGUUAGCUGAUUGUCUGCAGAAUUCCACAAUCACUAACUUCACUGCCACCAAAACAAG